UAUGAAUACAGGCUUCUCUGUAACAUUUCAUUUUAGGAUGUCACUUUGGACUAUGGGAUGGAAAAUGUUGACCCCAUCAGUAAAGCAUAUUUCUAUCGCAAGGAUAACCCUGAUAAAGGAGAACCAAUCCCCAAAUCAGAUGUGUUCAGUGUCCUCCCAGACUGGUUUUCUGACGAGAUACUUAGGGUUUACUGGAAGAAUCCUAAAGGACUAAAUGAUGAAGAGAUAAAAAAGAGAGAA